GGGAGAGUAUGCAAGUGGCUAAAGCAGGCGGACUGUAAAUCCGUUCCGAUUGGUUCGUUGGUUCAAAUCCAACCUUUCCCA
rnacentral:tRNA from 1 species